AUUGAACGCUGGCGGCAGGCCUAACACAUGCAAGUCGAGCGGAUGACGGGAGCUUGCUCCUUGAUUCAGCGGCGGACGGGUGAGUAAUGCCUAGGAAUCUGCCUGGUAGUGGGGGACAACGUUUCGAAAGGAACGCUAAUACCGCAUACGUCCUACGGGAGAAAGCAGGGGACCUUCGGGCCUUGCGCUAUCAGAUGAGCCUAGGUCGGAUUAGCUUGUUGGUGAGGUAAUGGCUCACCAAGGCGACGAUCCGUAACUGGUCUGAGAGGAUGAUCAGUCACACUGGAACUGAGACACGGUCCAGACUCCUACGGGAGGCAGCAGUGGGGAAUAUUGGACAAAGGGCGAAAGCCUGAUCCAGCCAUGCCGCGUGUGUGAAGAAGGUCUUCGGAUUGUAAAGCACUUUAAGUUGGGAGGAAGGGUUGUAGAUUAAUACUCUGCAAUUUUGACGUUACCGACAGAAUAAGCACCGGCUAACUCUGUG
rnacentral:rRNA from 1 species